rnacentral:rRNA from 1 species
UACGUAGGGGGCAAGCGUUAUCCGGAUUUACUGGGUGUAAAGGGAGCGUAGGCGGCGAUGCAAGUCAGAAGUGAAAGCCCGGGGCUCAACUCCGGGACUGCUUCUGAAACUGUGUUGCUAGAUUGCAGGAGAGGUAAGUGGAAUUCCUAGUGUAGCGGUGAAAUGCGUAGAUAUUAGGAGGAACACCAGUGGCGAAGGCGGCUUACUGGACUGUAAAUGACGCUGAGGCUCGAAAGCGUGGGGAGCAAACAGG